rnacentral:rRNA from 1 species
GACGAACGCUGGCGGCGUGCUUAACACAUGCAAGUCGAGCGGUGAAAGCGGAGCUUGCUCCGCUGGAUCAGUGGCGAACGGGUGAGUAACACGUGGGCAACCUGCCCCUCACUUCGGGAUAACUCCGGGAAACCGGAGCUAAUACCGGAUAUGACCUCCUUGGGCAUCCUUGGAGGUGGAAAGUUUUUCGGUGAGGGAUGGGCCCGCGGCCUAUCAGCUUGUUGGUGAGGUAGUGGCUCACCAAGGCGACGACGGGUAGCCGGCCUGAGAGGGCGACCGGCCACACUGGGACUGAGACACGGCCCAGACUCCUACGGGAGGCAGCAGUGGGGAAUAUUGCGCAAUGGGCGAAAGCCUGACGCAGCAACGCCGCGUGCGGGAUGACGGCCUUCGGGUUGUAAACCUCUUUCAGCAGGGACGAAGCGAAAGUGACGGUACCUGCAGAAGAAGCACCGGCUAACUACGUGCCAGCCGCCGCAGUAA